UAGCGAGGGGGACGAGCGUUGUUCGGAAUUAUUGGGCGUAAAGGGUGCGUAGGCGGCCUGACAAGUCUGAUGUGAAAUCCCUGGGCUCAACCCAGGGCCUGCAUCGGAAACUGUCGGGCUUGAGUAUGGGAGAGGUGAGUGGAAUUUCCGGUGUAGCGGUGAAAUGCGUAGAUAUCGGAAGGAACACCUGUGGCGAAAGCGGCUCACUGGACCAUUACUGACGCUGAGGCACGAAAGCUAGGGGAGCAAACAGGAGUAGAAA
rnacentral:rRNA from 1 species